rnacentral:rRNA from 1 species
CCUACGGGUGGCAGCAGUGAGGAAUAUUGGUCAAUGGACGAGAGUCUGAACCAGCCAAGUAGCGUGAAGGAUGACUGCCCUAUGGGUUGUAAACUUCUUUUAUAUGGGAAUAAAAUGUUCCACGUGUGGGAUUUUGUAUGUACCAUAUGAAUAAGGAUCGGCUAACUCCGUGCCAGCAGCCGCGGUAAUACGGAGGAUCCGAGCGUUAUCCGGAUUUAUUGGGUUUAAAGGGAGCGUAGGUGGAUUGUUAAGUCAGUUGUGAAAGUUUGCGGCUCAACCGUAAAAUUGCAGUUGAAACUGGCAGUCUUGAGUACAGUAGAGGUGGGCGGAAUUCGGGGUGUAGCGGUGAAAUGCUUAGAUAUCACGAAGAACUCCGGUUGCGAAGGCAGAUCACUGGACUGCAACUGACACUGAGGCUCGAAAGUGUGGGUAGCAAACAGGAUUAGAUACCCUUGUAGUC